rnacentral:rRNA from 1 species
GGCGGCCUGCCUAACACAUGCAAGUCGCACGGGGGGGCUUCGGCCUCCCAGUGGCGGACGGGUGAGGAACGCGUAGGGACCUGUCGAGGGGUGGGGGAUAACCGCGGGAAACUGCGGCUAAUACCGCAUGACGCCGCGGCGUGACAGCCGGGGCCAAAGGCGAAAGCCGCCCGCCGAGGGGCCUGCGUCCGAUUAGCUGGUUGGCGGGGUAGCGGCCCACCAAGGCGUCGAUCGGUAGCUGGUCUGAGAGGGUGAUCAGCCACACCGGGACUGAGACACGGCCCGGACUCCUACGGGAGGCAGCAGUGGGGAAUAUUGGACAAUGGGCGCAAGCCUGAUCCAGCAAUGCCGCGUGGGUGAAGAAGGUCUUCGGAUUGUAAAGCCCUUUCGGCGGGGACGAUGGUGACGGUACCCGCAGAAGAAGCCCCGGCUAACUUCGUG